GACAGAUUUUAAAUGUCCCUAUCCCCCAAUUAAACUAGACUGGGGGAAAGCGGGUAGGGACAUUUAAAAUUUGUU
rnacentral:miRNA from 1 species